rnacentral:rRNA from 1 species
GUACCAGACUCCUACGGGAGGCAGCAGUGGGGAAUAUUGCACAAUGGGGGAAACCCUGAUGCAGCGACGCCGCGUGAGCGAAGAAGUAUCUCGGUAUGUAAAUCUCUAUCAGCAGGGAAGAAAAUGACGGUACCUGACUAAGAAGCCCCGGCUAACUACGUGCCAGCAGCCGCGGUAAUACGUAGGGGGCAAGCGUUAUCCGGAUUUACUGGGUGUAAAGGGAGCGCAGGCGGCGCGGUAAGUCUGAUGUGAAAGCCCGGGGCUCAACCCCGGGACUGCAUUGGAAACUGUCGUGCUGGAGUGUCGGAGGGGCAAGUGGAAUUCCUAGUGUAGCGGUGAAAUGCGUAGAUAUCACGCAGAACUCCGAUUGCGAAGGCAGCAUACCGGCGCGCAACUGACGCUCAUGCACGAAAGCGUGGGUAUCGAACAGGAUUAGAUACCCGAGUAAG